GUAGUCUCGCACAGAUGCAUAUCAAUAAGCGGAGGAAAAGAAACUAACAAGGAUUCCCCUAGUAAUGGCGAGUGAAGCGGGAAGAGCUCAAAUUUGAAAUCUUAAAGGGUUUCCCUUUACGAAUUGUAGUUUAAAGAAGUGUUUUCUGUUGAGGUUUUGGUAAAAGUUCUUUGGAAUAGGACAUCAUAGAGGGUGAGAAUCCCGUAUUUGACCUUUACUUUCAACUUUGUGAUACACUUUCAAAGAGUCGGAUUGUUUGGGAAUGCAGUCCAAAAUGGGUGGUAAAUUUCAUCUAAAGCUAAAUAUUGGCGAGAGACCGAUAGCGAACAAGUACCGUGAGGGAAAGAUGAAAAGAACUUGAAAAGAGAGUUAAACAGUACGUGAAAUUGUCAAAAGGGAAGCGUUUGACACCAGUGUUGUUUUUCUGAAAAUCAAUUAAAGAACUGUUUAUGCUAAGCUGUUUAGACUUUAUCAGCUAACUGUUUAGUUUUGAGCUUUUCUUUAAUGCACUUUUCAGUUAACAAGUCAACAUCAAUUUCUUUUGCUGUAAAAAAGCUUGAGGAAGGUGGCUUGAGAUUCGUCUUAAGUGUUUAUAGCCUCUUGCCUAUGCAGUCGGAGAGAUUGAGGUCCGCAGCGUAGAUCCUUCGGGACUAAAUGCAUUUGUGCUAAGUUAUAGCAUUUUAUAGACAACUUGUUGACUAUGAUUUGUCUUGUAGCUUACUCGCUUAUGUUAUUUUACCUACGCUUAGGAUGUUGAAGACUCUACAGAGAU
rnacentral:rRNA from 1 species